GACGAACGCUGGCGGCGUGCCUAAUACAUGCAAGUAGAACGCUGGAGGAAGGAGCUUGCUCUUUCCGGAUGAGUUGCGAACGGGUGAGUAACGCGUAGGUAACCUGCCCGAUAGCGGGGGAUAACUAUUGGAAACGAUAGCUAAUACCGCAUAACAGUAGAUAUCGCAUGAUAGCUGCUUAAAAGGUGCAAUUGCACCACUACCAGAUGGACCUGCGUUGUAUUAGCUAGUUGGUGAGGUAACGGCUCACCAAGGCAACGAUACAUAGCCGACCUGAGAGGGUGAUCGGCCACACUGGGACUGAGACACGGCCCAGACUCCUACGGGAGGCAGCAGUAGGGAAUCUUCGGCAAUGGACGGAAGUCUGACCGAGCAACGCCGCGUGAGUGAAGAAGGUUUUCGGAUCGUAAAGCUCUGUUGUAAGAGAAGAAACGAGUGUGAGAAGUGGAAAG
rnacentral:rRNA from 1 species